rnacentral:lncRNA from 1 species
UAGAGCCCUGCAACAUCAUUGUCUCAUAUGAAAAUUACCAAAAAAAGAUUAAAAUUAUGUAUUCUCUUCUAUUUUAUACUUUAAAUCCACUUUCAAAUCGUUCUUACACUUUCAUUUACCCUCUCAAUCUCAUGCAAGAUUUGAAUCUAUACCCGAUUUUUCUUGUAAAAUGUAUUAAGGCGAGCAGAUAACAUCGUGCCGCAAAAUUGGACUGGGGUUCGCGUUUGGUCGCUAGUCUUGAGGUACAAUAGGAAACUGUAAAUCAGUAAUCUUGUGGAACAAGUAAUAAUCAGAUAUUUCAAAGUUUUAUCAUGUAGAACCAAGAGGAAAAUUCUGUGAAAAAAAAAACAAAAGAUUGAUAGCUACACGUCUUCUAAAAAUAAAAGAUUACUACAACACGUACGCAUCGGAGACCAAUCAUUCUGAUUAAGAAAAAAAAAAUCAGUUGAUUCACACAAUAAAUAUGUUCAGACUUCAGAUAUGUAUUUGGGUUACGAAUGUAUGCUUGAAAAUAAAUAUCAAAACUAAUCAUGUUCAAACUUUAAAUUUUUCAUGAAAGAUAUCUAAUAUGGUAAUACAGUUUUUAUAAAGUCAUAAAUUA